AAAUUGAAGAGUUUGAUCAUGGCUCAGAUUGAACGCUGGCGGCAGGCCUAACACAUGCAAGUCGAACGGUAACAGGAAGCAGCUUGCUGCUUUGCUGACGAGUGGCGGACGGGUGAGUAAUGUCUGGGAAACUGCCUGAUGGAGGGGGAUAACUACUGGAAACGGUGGCUAAUACCGCAUAACGUCGCAAGACCAAAGAGGGGGACCUUCGGGCCUCUUGCCAUCAGAUGUGCCCAGAUGGGAUUAGCUAGUUGGUGAGGUAACGGCUCACCAAGGCGACGAUCCCUAGCUGGUCUGAGAGGAUGACCAGCCACACUGGAACUGAGACACGGUCCAGACUCCUACGGGAGGCAGCAGUGGGGAAUAUUGCACAAUGGGCGCAAGCCUGAUGCAGCCAUGCCGCGUGUAUGAAGAAGGCCUUCGGGUUGUAAAGUACUUUCAGCGGGGAGGAAGGUGUUGUGGUUAAUAACCGCAGCAAUUGACGUUACCCGCAGAAGAAGCACCGGCUAACUCCGUGCCAGCAGCCGCGGUAAUACGGAGGGUGCAAGCGUUAAUCGGAAUUACUGGGCGUAAAGCGCACGCAGGCGGUCUGUCAAGUCGGAUGUGAAAUCCCCGGGCUCAACCUGGGAACUGCAUU
rnacentral:rRNA from 2 species